rnacentral:rRNA from 1 species
UACAGAGGUCUCGAGCGUUGUCCGGAUUUACUGGGCGUAAAGGGAGCGUAGGUGGAUAUUUAAGUGGGAUGUGAAAUACUCGGGCUUAACCUGGGUGCUGCAUUCCAAACUGGAUAUCUAGAGUGCAGGAGAGGAAAGGAGAAUUCCUAGUGUAGCGGUGAAAUGCGUAGAGAUUAGGAAGAAUACCAGUGGCGAAGGCGCCUUUCUGGACUGUAACUGACACUGAGGCUCGAAAGCGUGGGGAGCAAACAGGAUUAGAUACCCU